rnacentral:rRNA from 1 species
CCUACGGGGGGCAGCAGUAGGGAAUCUUUCACAAUGGGCGAAAGCCUGAUGGAGCAACGCCGCGUGCAGGAUGAAGGCAUUCGGGUUGUAAACUGCUUUUAUAAGCGAGAAAUAUGAUGGUAACUUAUGAAUAAGGAUCGGCUAACUACGUGCCAGCAGCCGCGGUCAUACGUAGGAUCCGAGCAUUAUCCGGAGUGACUGGGUGUAAAGAGUUGCGUAGGUGGCAUAAUAAGUAGCUAGUGAAAUCUGGUGGCUCAACCAUUCAGACUAUUAGCUAAACUGUUAAGCUCGAGACCGUUAGGGGUAACUGGAAUUUCUAGUGUAGGAGUGAAAUCCGUAGAUAUUAGAAGGAACACCAAUAGCGUAGGCAGGUUGCUGGGACGGUUCUGACACUAAGGCACGAAAGCGUAGGGAGCAAACGGGAUUAGAUACCCGUGUAGUC